rnacentral:rRNA from 1 species
UCGGGAAUAUUGGUCAAUGGGGGAAACCCUGAACCAGCAAUGCCGCGUGAGUGAUGAAGGUUUUCGGAUCGUAAAGCUCUGUCUUAUGGGACGAAUAAGGUGACGGUACCAUAGGAGGAAGCCCCGGCUAACUACGUGCCAGCAGCCGCGGUAAUACGUAGGGGGCGAGCGUUGUCCGGAAUUACUGGGCGUAAAGGGCGAGUAGGCGGUUAUACAAGUCAGAUGUGAAAUACCAGGGCUUAACCCUGGGGCUGCAUUUGAAACUGUAUAACUUGAGUGCAGGAGAGGAAAGUGGAAUUCCCAGUGUAGCGGUGAAAUGCGUAGAUAUUGGGAGGAACACCAGUGGCGAAGGCGACUUUCUGGACUGUAACUGACGCUGAGGCGCGAAAGCGUGGGGAGC